UUCCGUGACAAACACUUUGAACGAUAACGCCUGUGAAAGACUGCCUUUUUAGUACCGUGAUUAAAGCUUUACUGCGGUAUCCAGUAUUUGCUGAGAAAAGAGUUUCCCAGGAGCGACUCAAGUUUGGCAGACAGCACCACAAUGAACACGAGGACCGUGCUUCUCUUUGCGCUUGUCCUCAGUAUGGCAUGCUCCAUGUCAGAGGCAGGCAACUACUGGCAGAUGAGGGGCCGUACAGGCAGGGCCAAUCUACGGACAAACUUCAGGAAACGCAUUUACCCCUUCAUUCCGAUCCGACCUGAGAUGCUGGAGCAAGUAAUAGAGGAUUGGGAUAACGGUGACGCAGAGUUUGACAACUAUUAAACUCUAUAUGAUUGAAUAAUCAUGGCAUCUUCAUAACUCACGAAAGACUCUUCGUUACGAAACUUCUCACCCAUUUCAACGAGAGGGCGGUAUACUCAAACGAUGAGGCCAAGAUCGACAGCGGUCAGCGGAGCGCUGCUAAUGUCGUGUUGCAACUUCAUCAGGGGGUGUUGGCUUAAAUCUGCCUCUGUUUGUUUCUCUGAUUGUUAGUGUUACGACAACGAAAAUAACCUAAACCUUAAUUUGUCAAAUUUCCAAAUUAAUUAAUUGUUGCUGGGGCUUCAGUCACAGGUGUCUUUUCUUCAAUAUUUUUUCUGUAUAAAAUCGAAAUAUAUAUUGUUUAUAAUUCACAAUUUCCCAUUAUUCAGAAUAUAAAGCAUUAACGUUUUUUUUGUAUAAAAAUCAUUAAAAAUAAAAUGCUACAUGAAAAUGUACCUUACAUUUCUUUUUAAUUGGGAAGUCUCUGUUUUCCAUUUAAUUUAACAUGGCAUACAGCAUAAUGUCUUACGAUAAUCACUCUUACUUUUUUGCAUGCAUUACACUUUGCAUAAUAAUAUACAGUAAAACGCCGCUAUAACGAACAUCGUGGGAUCCACAGAAAGUGUUCGUAAUAACGAACCGCCGGUACCCUCUUUUGACCAAUAGUGAAUUCACUGACAUGGCAUUUCUCACAUCCCGCGGCCGAACGAGGAGUUGUCACAAAACUUUAGCAACUGGUGGUGUUCCCUUUUAUUCCUUCGGGAAAUAAUAGCCAUCUAUCGCUCUUCAACAUUCAAACACGAAGUAACCAUAGGUGGUUUGAUGUUCGGGCAUUAAAAGUGGCCCAAACAGUGUGUAAUGCGCGGUACGUGUUGUACAUUAAAACCGGGAGCCAAGGAUGAUGUUCGGUAUAGCCGAAUGUUCGAUAUAGCGGUGUUCGGUAUAGCGGCGUUCCACUGUAUAGGUUUUCCCGUCCAAUUUUGCAACUUGUUAAUUCAAUCAGACAGAUUGCUCCUUACAUUUCAAGAGGUUUCAGAGAGUCAGAUUUACAAAUACGUUUUGGAUUCGCGGUAGAGCAUUCGAUUUCGUUUAUAGAUGUAUAUCCCGCGCUCCUCAAAAACAUUUUUAACUGCGGGUAUCAGCUCAACAACUCUUGAUGUCUCUCCGAGUUAGUUAGCAACAAACGUUGCCACUGUCUAUAGAUCCUAUACAUAUUUUGAACGAUUUCAACGAAACUUUGUCAACUAUAAAUAGCCAAGUCCCAACAUAUAACAUGACCAAACUGGGGUCAAAGGUCAUCAUGGGGUAACUGGGGUAAAAAAACCCUUUUUUUUAUAACU